CGGGCUGUGUGCAGAGGGGCUCAGACAGCAAUUCCUGGUUCCAGCCUCCCAGAGCUCCCAGGCAGCUGCCAGCUAUUAAAUGCCAACCGACAGCCUGCAGAGAUGCCUUCAAAUCAAAGGUUCAGGUGGGAUGAAGUUUUGUUUGGACGAAGGUGGGAGUUUCCAGGGAGCCAGCUGGAAGUGCAGAAGGGAUGGAAAGCUUUCCCAGGUACUUCCCAGUGGCACUGCUCAGACACCAGAGCUCCAACUGCAGCAGGUGAGUCCUGGAGUGCUGGAUCAGCAUGGCCACAAUGGCCAGGGAGGUGAGUGAGCACUGGGCAAGGCAGUGAGCCUGCACCUCAACACCACCUGUGAGAGCAAGGACUGGCUCACUCUGGAGAGCCUGAAGGAAAACUCGCUCCAAAUCUCUUCUGGCCGAUGCUGACAUCAAUUUCCCCAAAGCCUUAAUGUGCUCUGUGGACAGCAGAAGUUCUCCUUGCUGGGGCUGUCUUUGGUGGCUGUCUGUAAAGAGCUGCACCAAAGUUUGUCCAUAGAAGCUUAACUGCUUCCCUAUUUUAGGGGAUUUUUUCAGAUUUCUGAGAAGCCAAGCCCAUCUCAGGAAGUUGCAGCAUGGUUAAAGUGAUCUCCUUCAGCUGAGCUGCAGUCAUGUACAUGUGCAGCUCCUCCAGAGCCUGCAGCUGGUGAGACUUCCUGGGAUAGACCUGGCUUUGGUCCUUCCCCCCAGUCUGCAGCUCUUCCAGGACACUUUUGGUGAUGGCUUUGAAAUACUUGGACAAGACGUGUCUGUGAUCUCUCGUUUUCAGCAGCUGGAGCACCCCAGAAUGGAGGUGAGCUGACAGGAGCUUCACAGUGACAGGGUUCAGACCAGGCUGAGGAAUAGAGCGCAGCUCCAACGCCAGGAACCAGCUCUCCAGUGCAGGAUGUCUGAAAAUCAAGGGAUUUGGUACCUUGUCAUUUGAAGACACUUCUGUCAUCAGAGGCUCCUCAUCCAUGAAGAGAUCCCAUCAGCCUGAUGCUCCUCCUGCUUCUGCUGCUGCUCCAGCUUUAUUUCAUUGUCCCGGCACAACAAGAUGCUCAGCAGGUCCACACAGAGAUCAACAAGCUGAGGACCCAAAGUUUUACCAAGCUAUGAAAACAAAGACAUGUUGGAAGUGAAGAAAAGAGGAGGAUGGGAGCAGACAGGUAAUUAUACAGCAGGAAUAGGAGUUAACUAAGAACUACUUAGAUUACAACCUCUUCUGGGAGAAGGAACCACCUCCCUUAAUAGAAACCUGAUUCUAAGAGAAGUCUCAGGUUGCCAAAUAAAUAGUGAUAGAAUUUCA